rnacentral:rRNA from 1 species
UACGGAGGGGGCUAGCGUUGUUCGGAAUUACUGGGCGUAAAAGCGCACGUAGGCGGCUUUGUAAGUUAGAGGUGAAAGCCCGGGGCUCAACUCCGGAAUUGCCUUUAAGACUGCAUCGCUAGAACGUCGGAGAGGUAAGUGGAAUUCCGAGUGUAGAGGUGAAAUUCGUAGAUAUUCGGAAGAACACCAGUGGCGAAGGCGACUUACUGGACGACUGUUGACGCUGAGGUGCGAAAGCGUGGGGAGCAACAGG